CGCGUAGGUGGUAGUGUAAGUCUGAGGUGGAAUCCUAUGGCUUAACCAUAGAACUGCCUUGGAUACUGUAUUACUUGAGUCAGUGAGGGGAGGGUAGAAUUCCUGGUGUAGCGGUGAAAUGCGUAGAUAUCGGGAGGAAGGCCUGUGGCGAAGGCGGCCCUCUGGCGCUGGACUGACACUGAGGCGCGAAGGCGUGGGGAGCAAACAGGAUUAGAUACCCUGGUAGUCCACGCCCUAAACGGUGGGCACUAGGUGUAGGGCUCGUAAGGGUUCUGUGCCGAAGGGAAACCAUUAAGUGCCCCGCCUGGGGAGUACGGCCGCAAGGUUGAA
rnacentral:rRNA from 1 species